rnacentral:rRNA from 1 species
UACGGGGGGGGCAAGCGUUGUUCGGAAUUACUGGGCGUAAAGCGUGCGCAGGCGGUUUUGUAAGUUUGUCGUGAAAGCCCCGGGCUCAACCUGGGAAUUGCGAUGAAGACUGCAAGGCUUGAAUCUGGCAGAGGGGGGUAGAAUUCCACGUGUAGCAGUGAAAUGCGUAGAGAUGUGGAGGAACACCGAUGGCGGAAGGCAGCCCC